ACAAAGGUAUUGAAAUAAGACUUUAAUUGAGUGCUAAGAGAAUGGAUUAACGGUAAAAUUCUUUUUUAAUUUCAAAAAUUGAAGUUAUUUUUGUUAGUGAAGAAACUACAAUAAAAAUUAAGGACAAGAAGACCCUAAGAAUUUUAAAUAAUUUAAAAAAAAAAUUUUUUUUUUAAAUUAUUUUAAUUGGGGCGAUUAAUAAAAAUAAGAAACUUUAUUUCUCCAAAAAAAUGAACCAUUAAUAAUGGCCAUAUGAAAAAAAUACUCUAGGGAUAACAGCGUA
rnacentral:rRNA from 1 species